AUUGAACGCUGGCGGCAGGCCUAACACAUGCAAGUCGAGCGAGCGGCGGCCGGGUGAGUAAUGUCUGGGAAACUGCCUGAUGGAGGGGGAUAACUACUGGAAAAGGUAGCUAAUACCGCAUACCAUCAGAUGUGCCCAGAUGGGAUUAGCUAGUAGGUGGGGGAACGGCUAACCUAGGCGACGAUCCCUUGCUGGUCUGAGAGGAUGACCAGCCACACUGGACCUGAGACACGGUCCAGACUCCGACGGGAGGCAGCAGUGGGGAAUAUUGCACAAUGGGCUCAACCCUGAUGCAGCCAUGCCGCGUGUGUGAAGAAGGCCUUCGGGUUGUAAAGCACGUUCAGCGGGGAGGCGUUACCCGCAGAAGAAGCACCGGCUAACUCCGUGCCAGCAGCCGCGGUAAUAC
rnacentral:rRNA from 1 species